UUCAUUCUUGAAGUUAGUGAGACCAAGAACCCACCAAUUCCGGACACAAUAGUACUUACGGCCUAGACUGCUUCUCACGUUUGCUUAAGAGACACAGAGUACUGUAGCUCUUCCUGGAGAGGUUUACAGAAAGCCAUGUUCAGACCACUGGGAUUUGUGAUUCUCCUCUGGCUAGGGCUGGUUUACAUGCUCCCUCCAUGGUGGGGAGUGGGGUGUCAGCUAAAUUUGGUCCAGUGUUCCUUUCUGCUCUAACAGGACGGCGCUGAGUUUAAUGUCUCACAAUUGCUGUGGUCUCUCUCUCUCCCCCAGCAUCCAGAGAUGCUUUCCACACCACGCUGCCAUGUGGGGAAGGGGAGAGAAUCCUCCACAAUUCAGGACUGUUUUUUUUCUGUCUCUUCAGUGCAUUUUUCAGCGAUAUGAAGCUAAAGACAGAUACUACGAGUCCUCACCUGAUAACUGGUUCUUAUGAAGGUGUUUUUUCUGUGUAGAGAGUUGUUAAUUGGUGUCCUUGUUGAAGGGAUGAUGGGUGAAGCAUUCUAUUCCUCCGUCUUGCUGUGCCUCCUCCCUCUCAAUGUUAUCAAACCAUUGAGAGAAACAGAACUUUCCUCAAAGCCAAGAAACAGCUUUCAAAAGGAAGUUUCCCAAAAACUCUUCUAAAAGUACCAGCAUAUCUUCAAACCAAAUGAGGAAAUUGCAGGCCACAGAUACAAGUAACCAGCUUAACCACUGGAUUGUGCUCUCUCUUUCCUUCUGUAAUCUACUUUGAACAAAUAAUACAAACGUGAAUAAUCCA
rnacentral:lncRNA from 1 species